rnacentral:misc_RNA from 1 species
AUUAUAUCCAAAGUCGACCGAAGCUUUAACAACAUCCAUAAUGCAAUUCCAGGAGGACAGAGAACGUUAGCUAAAAGAAGAGCAGCAAACUUG